rnacentral:lncRNA from 1 species
CUCUUCCUGGGCUGGAGCCUGGAAUGUCUGAAAGAGGCAGACGGGAGAGAGGAUUGCGGGCUGGCUGAGUCGGGCAAGCGCUAGCUGGAUACGAGUGGAAGAACCUGGUCUUGUGCACAGAUGGCCCAGUGGAAACCCUGAGUGCAGAGCGGCAAAGCCCCAUUUGUCCCAGUUAAACUUGGCUUCUAGCUUCUCUGGAGCAGCAAUCACACCAGGCUGCCUGUGCAUGGAGCCAGGAGGUGGAUUUGAUCAGCAGCAGGGCCAAGCACAGGUUCUCCUCACUGCUUUUUAAUGGGAAGUCUUUUAUCCUUUCUGAUCAUUGGAGGAAAUAUUGUUUUUGUCGACCCCGGG